AGGGAGGCCAGAUCCUGGGCUGUGUCCCGGCGUCCAGUGCUCCGGGGCCUGCGCUGGUGGAUUCCCGCUCCCGCCCUUCAGCCCCCU
rfam:Canis lupus familiaris chromosome 12, whole genome shotgun sequence.